rnacentral:rRNA from 1 species
AAAUCCGCUUUAACAAGAUCCUGAGAGGUGAUGGGGAGCGAAAAACAAGUAGCGAAGAGAUUGAUUCCACACUGUCGAGAAAAGCCACUAUUGAGAAAUGAGGUGCCCGUACCGCAAACCGACACAGGUAGGUGAGGAGAGAAUCCUAAGACGAGCGGGAGAACCAUUGUUAAGGAACUCGGCAAAAUGACCCCGUAACUUCGGGAGAAGGGGUGCCGGAGGAUGUGAAAGACAAGCUCUGUAAGCAUCAACCGGUCGCAGAGAACAGGCCCAAGCGACUGUUUAGCAAAAACAUAGGUCUCUGCAAAGUCGAAAGACGACGUAUAGGGGCUGACGCCUGCCCGGUGCUGGAAGGUUAAGGGGAAGUGUUAGGGGUAACUCGAAGCACAGAACUUAAGCCCCAGUAAACGGCGGCCGUAACUAUAACGGUCCUAAGGUAGCGAAAUUCCUUGUCGGGUAAGUUCCGACCCGCACGAAAGGCGUAACGAUUUGGGCGCUGUCUCAACAAUGGACCCGGUGAAAUUGUAAUACCAGUGAAGAUGCUGGUUACCUGCGACAGGACGGAAAGACCCCGUGGAGCUUUACUGUAGCUUGACAUUGGAUUUUGGUACUACAUGUACAGGAUAGGUGGGAGACAGAGAAUCUAGAACGCCAGUUUUGGAGGAGUCGCCGUUGGGAUACCACUCUUGUAGUACUGAAGUUCUAACCAUGAACCAUUACCUGGUUUUGGGACACUGUCAGGUGGGCAGUUUGACUGGGGCGGUCGCCUCCUAAAAAGUAACGGAGGCGCCCAAAGGUUCCCUCAGCACGGUCGGAAAUCGUGCAAAGAGUGUAAAGGCAAAAGGGAGCUUGAUUGCGAGACCAACAAGUCGAGCAAGGACGAAAGUCGGGCUUAGUGAUCCGGUGGUACCGAGUGGAAGGGCCAUCGCUCAACGGAUAAAAGCUACCCCGGGGAUAACAGGCUUAUCUCCCCCAAGAGUCCACAUCGACGGGGAGGUUUGGCACCUCGAUGUCGGCUCAUCACAUCCUGGGGCUGAAGUAGGUCCCAAGGGUUGGGCUGUUCGCCCAUUAAAGUGGUACGCGAGCUGGGUUCAGAACGUCGUGAGACAGUUCGGUCCCUAUCCGUCGCAGGCGCAGGAAAUUUGAGAGGAUCUGUCCUUAGUACGAGAGGACCGGGAUGGACAUACCAAUGGUGUACCAGUUGUUCUGCCAAGAGCACCGCUGGGUAGCUACGUAUGGCAGGGAUAAGUGCUGAAGGCAUCUAAGCACGAAGCCCCCCUCAAGAUAAGAUUUCCCAUCACGCAAGUGGGUAAGACCCCAGGAAGACUACCUGGUAGAUAGGUCGGAGGUGUAAGUGCAGCAAUGUAUUAAGCUGACCGAUACUAAUAGGUCGAGGACUUGACCAA